UUUCACGGCCAUGCCACCCUGAACAAGCCCAAUCCCGUCUGACCGUGGAAGCUAAGCAGGGUCGGGCCUGGUUAAUACUUGGAUGGGAGACCACCUAGGAAGACCAGGUGCUGCAGACA
ensembl:rRNA 5S_rRNA 5S ribosomal RNA